ACACCCCUAACAGCUAGCCCCCUCCCCAAAACCAACAAACACCAUUAAUAACCCCUUAUUAAACAUAAACAAAACAUCAAACCAUUUUUCCCCCUCAGUAUAGGCGAUAGAAAAG
rnacentral:rRNA from 1 species